rnacentral:piRNA from 1 species
UAAAAAAGCGAGGGGAUGGAUUCCACUUUC